ensembl:lncRNA
AACAGUCACUUCCCAAUUUGUAAACCAUUUUAAACCACUGAAGCUGGGAUAUAGGAGCUCUUUGUCACACUCAACAUGUUUAAUAAGCGUGUUGCGGGUACUGGACUGGAUGCCUGGACCCUCCUCAUGGAUAACCGGCCAGAACCGCAUCACCAUUUUAAUAUGAUUUGCAUGUAUUUACCUGUAUGUCCAUUGUGGCACCCAUUGCACUCCUGACCAUCCCUGGAAGAAGGGAUCCCCUACAUUGCGUUUCUUCUCAAGAUUUCUUCCUUGCUGAUUCAAGGGAGUUUUUUCUUGCCCGUGUGGGGGCAUGGGUAAAGGGGGGUGUCACAAAUAUUUGGCCUGUUAAGCCCUUUGAGACUGUAAUGGUGAUUAAGGGCUAUACAAAUAAAAUUGAAUUGAAUUGAAUUGAAUAGCUAAGAUGGUUUAAGACAAUGAGAAAAUACAUUAAAGAUAGAGGACAGUAUGGAAAGCUAGCUAUGCUGGCUCCUAUCUGACACUAAGCAGCUGAAAUGUAAUGUCUUAAAAGGCCAUCACAGUCAAUAGAGGUCUUAAUGUGCUCCAAGCAAUUACGAUGUCCAGAGGAGAGCAGAGUGCAUAUAGGAUAUUAACCCAAGUAACCUGCUCUAUCUGCUGCCUUAAUUAAAUCAUCCUCCCAUGCCCAUUUUUAUGUAGG